CCUACGGGAGGCAGCAGUCGAGAAUCAUUCACAAUGGGGGAAACCCUGAUGGUGCGACGCCGCGUGGGGGAAUGAAGGUCUUCGGAUUGUAAACCCCUGUCAUGUGGGAGCAAAUUAAAAAGAUCGUACCACAAGAGGCAGAGACGGCUAACUCUGUGCCAGCAGCCGCGGUAAUACAGAGGUCUCAAGCGUUGUUCGGAAUCACUGGGCGUAAAGCGUGCGUAGGCUGUUUCGUAAGUCGUGUGUGAAAGGCGCGGGCUCAACCCGCGGACGGCACAUGAUACUGCGAGACUAGAGUAAGGGAGGGGGAACCGGAAUUCUCGGUGUAGCAGUGAAAUGCGUAGAUAUCGAGAGGAACACUCGUGGCGAAGGCGGGUUCCUGGACAUUAACUGACGCUGAGGCACGAAGGCCAGGGGAGCGAAAGGGAUUAGAUACCCCAGUAGUC
rnacentral:rRNA from 1 species